rnacentral:rRNA from 1 species
GCAAGUCGAACGGUAACGCGAAGAGCUUGCUCUGGCUGACGAGUGGCGGACGGGUGCGUAACGCGUGGGAAUCUACCUUAUAGUGGGGGAUAGCCCGGAGAAAUCCGGAUUAAUACCGCAUAAUCUCUACGGAGCAAAGUGGGGGAUCUUCGGACCUCACGCUAUUAGAUGAGCCCGCGUUAGAUUAGCUUGUUGGUGAGGUAAUGGCUCACCAAGGCGACGAUCUAUAGCUGGUUUGAGAGGAUGAUC